GCGCCGGUAGCUCCGUUGGAAGAGCAGUGGGACGGUACCCCACGGUCUCGGGUUCAAGUCUCGGCCGACGCU